UUGUGCAGGGGAAUCCAUGCCUCAUGGCGCUCUCCAGCCUGCUGUGGGUGUUCCUGGCCUUCACCUUCUCUGGAUCUGGUGUGGCCCAGAAAGUUACUCAAGACCAGCCAGAUGUAUCCAGCCAAGUGGGGCAGUCAGUCACCCUGAAUUGUCGGUAUGAAACAAGUUGGACCACUUACUACCUUUAUUGGUACAAGCAACCUCCCAGUGGACAGAUGACUUACGUUAUUCAUCAGGAUUCAUUAGUCUCAAAUGCAAGGAAAGACUGUUACCCUGUAAACUUUAAGAAAGCAGACAAAUCCAUCAGCCUCACCAUUUCAGCCUUACAACUGGAAGACUCUGCAAAGUACUUCUGUGCUCUUUCUGAACUCGCAGUGCUUGAAGUAAUAGGAAAAGCUGUACAAAAACCCCAGAGCUUAUAUCCUGGAGAAGGCCCACAGCUCCUCCUGAAAGCCACGAAGGCCAAGGAGAAGGGAAGCCACAAAGGUUUUGAAGCCACAUACAAUACAGAAACCACCUCCUUCCACUUGGAGAAAGCCUCAGUCCAAGAGUCAGACUCGGCUGUGUACUACUGUGCUCUGAGGGACACAGUGACGGAAACUGCAGGGGGAGCUGAGCACAAACUCUGA